rnacentral:tRNA from 1 species
AGUCUCGUAGCUCAGCUGGUUAGAGCGCUACACUGAUAAUGUAGAGGCCGGCAGUUCGAGUCUGCCCGAGACUA